GAAUCUUGCGCAAUGGGCGAAAGCCUGACGCAGCCAUGCCGCGUGAAUGAUGAAGGUCUUAGGAUUGUAAAAUUCUUUCACCGGGGAAGAUAAUGACGGUACCCGGAGAAGAAGCCCCGGCUAACUUCGUGCCAGCAGCCGCGGUAAUACGAAGGGGGCUAGCGUUGCUCGGAAUUACUGGGCGUAAAGGGCGCGUAGGCGGAUGUUUAAGUCGGGGGUGAAAGCCCAGGGCUCAACCCUGGAAUUGCCUUCGAUACUGGGCAUCUUGUGUUCGGGAGAGGUGAGUGGAAUGCCGAGUGUAGAGGUGAAAUUCGUAGAUAUUCGGCGGAACACCAGUGGCGAAGGCGACUCACUGGCCCGAUACUGACGCUGAGGCGCGAAAGCGUGGGGAGCAAACAG
rnacentral:rRNA from 1 species